rnacentral:lncRNA from 1 species
UGAUGGAUUUAAUCCUUUCAAGAUCAUGAGCACUGCGUACAGUACUUGGCCAGUAGUGCUUGUUCCUUAUAAUCUGCCUCCGUGGAUUUGCAUGAAGUAAUCUUCCCUUAUCUUAUCUAUGAUUAUCCCUGGUGAGAAAGGGCCCGGGAAUGAUAUCGACAUUUAUUUACAGCCACUUAUUGAAGAGUUAAAACAAUUAUGGGCUGGUGUCGAGACAUACGAUGUGGUGAGAAAGGAGAACUUUAAUUUACGUG